GUAAUACUCCUUUGAUGAUGCCAAUCUCGAUUGCUUCUUAGGCUCUAUUGGGACUCCUCAUUUCUUAUUCAGUUCUAGAAUCGAUUGGAGAGUCUUGGUUGGAAGCUUGGUCUUUUUCUUGGUUCCUCUUGUUUUGGCCAUUGUCAAAUUUGUCCUACAAAAUAAGAAAAGGUUAUCAAUGAAAAUUUUUUUUUAAUAAUAAUUGUUGACGGUUUCUUCAAAGAUGUUGGGAUUGAGUUCCAUUAAACAAAUAGCAAUGUAAACCUGUGAAGCACAAAUGGUGACUAAUAACUGACAAUAUGCAAAGCAACUAGUUAGGCAACUUCCAACAAAUUUGAGAACAAACUUCAAGAGCAAAUAAGUUAGGCAACUUCAAACGGUGGCCACUGAACAAACUAAUUGCAUUCAAUUUCUUGGUUUCUAGCCGACAACAGCCUUGACAAUAGCCUUGAGAAUCAGUGGUAACGUCGAAUGCCAGCAAGCCAACACCAAAUGACAACGAACGUAGAUGGAGAUGGCGAAGAUUUUGCUGAAUAGAUGACAACUCCAAGCAACUGGGAAGCAACGAUGUUUGAUGGUUAUUUCCCCAAAACUUGAAGUUUCAAUUAAAGCUUGUGAGCCACUGCAAUCUUUACGAACAACUUGAGUUUUUUGUGGCUUUAAAAAGAGAAAGAAGAAAAAUAGUAUUCACAAUGGAAAAGGAUUCUAAACCAAAAAGGAAUUGUUUCUUGUUUCUUUUUUUUUUAAUGGAAGAAAAGGAUUCUAAUAGCUGCUAAGAAGAAAAUCGAAAGAAAAGUAUUCUAAUAACUGCUAAGAAGACCAAAGUAAAAAAGGACUCUUUUUUUUUUGGUAUUUGAGUGCUGGGUAGAAAACUUCAUCUUGUAACACUUGGGGCAUGAUUUUGAAAUUUAGUCUUUCGAUUGUCGCGCCCCAUUUUUCGCGAUGAAAAUAAGUAUUUACAAAAGAUGUGAUUUUAUUUAAAAAUAAGUGAAAAAUGACCUAGAAUGGGUCUUUAAAGAAUGCGACAGUUUGGAUUCAAAAUUUAGUCUAAAAGGGUUUUUAAGAAAAAAAGGACUCAUCACUUGGUAUUGAGUUUGGGUGUACCAAAUCACCAAAAAGUAUUUUUGAUAAAAAUGAAAUAAAAUAAAACCCUUUUCGACAACUCCAGGUCUUUGAAAAACAAGAGAAAAUGAGUUCGGGAGUCACGGUUGAAGAAAGGAAAGGCAAAGGCUCGAUUAAUUCAAACAUAAGGCACCCUCUCAACCUAGUCUAAAUUAGUUGCGAGGUUUAGUCAAAAAUUUUCCUAAUCUAACCCUUAAAUUUAUCACGUUUGAAUGUUUCCUACAUAAAUGCAAAUCUAAAUUUAUAAAAACGUCGAGAGGGACAAAAUGUCCAUUCAAUAAUUUAAUUAAUACCAAUCGCAUUAAUUACGAAGGUCAAAAUAAUUCCUUAAAUAGGUCACGAGUAUGCGAAUGAUGAAAUUAAAAGAAAAGAAAGUUAAAUUAUAUAUAUAGAUAUAAGUGACCAAAGAAUAGGGAAUGCAACAUAAUGGGUAUGGGAGGCAAAAAUUCGUGACAUAAUUUUCUUAUACAGGAGAAUAUUUGAACUAAAAAGUUAUAAUUACCCAUUUCUCAUAUUUGAAGAAUAAUUCUCCUAACAUGAACAAGCAAAUGAACUAAUUUAUUUUACAAUUUCUUAAAUGAGGUGAAAUCCUAAAUGAUAGGAGACACAUAUACAGGGUAGGUGAUAAUAUAAUAAGAAAUAUCAUGCAAAUGAGAAAGUAUUCUAAAAUAAAAAUAUGCAGGAAAAUGUAAUGAAUGUCACACAAAAAUGAAUCUAACGCACGAACGAUCUAAGAGUCUAGCAUUGGACUAACCCAUUUCUAAAAAUCCUUACUAGCGUUGGACUAGCAAGUAAGCGAAGGGAGAAGCCACAACUAGCGUUGAACUAGUGCGGUGACGUCAUGUAUUCUUAAUACAUAGUAAGACAAAUAAGGUAUAAAUUAAAACAAAUAAACAUGUAAGAGCAUGUAGCACAUAACACAUAAAUAUAAUAUCUAUAUGCAAAAAUCCUAACAAAAGCGAAUAAAGCACAUAACACAUAAGCCACAUAACACGCAAAAACCUAUCUAUUACAGUGGGGAGUCUAACUACAAUCUAAAAUGGGAAAAUAAAAAAUCCUAUCUACCCUAUCUAUUACAAUAGGGGACCUAAUUACAAUCUAAAAUGGAAAAUAUAAUAAAACAAAUCUAGGUAUCCUAUCUAUUAUAUUUUUGAGAUAUUUAAAUGCCUCUCAAAUAAUUAUAAAAAUUAACUAAAUAAAUAUAAAAAAAUUUGAAUGAACAUUUAAAUCAAAUAAAUAAAGCACAUACAAAUAUUUAAACACAUAGGAACACGUACGAGCACAAAAGAGCACGUAAUUGACAUUGAAAUACUAAUAAUAGGGGUACCUCUCUUUUGAAGUGGUGACUAAAUGGAGUCAAAUUGCCCUAUUUAUACUCAAAAUAAACAAAAAAAUCAUGACACCAAUUUAAUUGAAAAAUAAUAAUAAUGAUAAAAAUACUAAAUUCACUUUAAUAUGUCAAACGUAAAGAAAUUUAAGAACAUCUAAAAAUUACAAGUUAAAUAUAUUUAAAAGUAACAUAAUUAGCUAUUAAAGAAAAGAAACAAUCAUAAUAAAGAGAGCUAAAAUUCACUAGGGACUAAAUUGUAAAAUUAAAAACUUUUAGGGUCAAAAAUAUAAUUUUUCUAAAGUUUAAGGGUCAAAAUUAAAUAAAUGAUAAAGUUCAGGGAGCAAAGCACAAUUAUUUUAAGGGUCUAAGUGAAAGAUAUUUAAAAUUUUCUGGGUCACAAUAAAAUACUCCAAAAAUAAAGGACUAAAAUGAAAAUUUUGGUUUCUGAUUUGGGCAAGAAAAAAGCCAUCAGGCCUUUCUUUUAUUUUUUCUUGGGCCGGAACCAUCCGGCCCGGAAGAAACAAGUGGGCUAUUUUUUAUGAAAAUAAACACAAGCCCAGAUGAAAAAGCCCCAAAGAAAGAAGGCCCUAACCCAACCGAAAUUAAAGAAAAUGGCCCAUCAAACAAUAAACAUUUGCCCAAUUCUUUUUUCUUCUUUUUCUUUUCUUUCCUUUCUUUUUUUUUUCUUUCCUUCUCCUUCUCUUCUUAUUCUUCUUUUUCCUUCUUCUUCCACUCGAGAAGCUAAAGCUUACUUCCUGCUAGCGGCUAUGGCCGCCUCCCAUGGCACCACCGCCGAAUGCAGGCAAAUUUUCAGGUCACCAAAUUUUGUCAAAAUGCAUCAUUUCACUCGAUUUUUUGCGUAGAUUCCAUUUUUUAAGUUAGUUUUUACAAAAAAAAAAAAAAGGACCCGAAAGUAACCAAAAUACUAAGAAAUCAGUCCAAUUUUUAUUUUUUUUAAACACUCAAAUCUUCACCAAAAACCACAUAAUUUAUACUACAACACUCAUUGUGAUUUUUACAACAUAACUAUGAACUGAAAUCAAUAAAAGCAACAACACAUAUGACAAAAUUAAAUCAAAACAGUCCAAAAAAAAAAAUCCUUCAAUGCUUUUAAGGCUCAAAAACUCUAAAACUUUGGACAACCAAACAUUUUCGGACCUACACUAGCAAAUGGUCAUCUAUUUUGACAAAAAAAACAUGCACAAUGUUCAGCUUUUUAAUUCGUUUUUCCUUUUUGGCAUUUUAUCAAACAUGUAGCAUGCAUACACAAAAGCUAUUUCUCUUUCUUUAAUCUGGCUUGUAACUUAACCUCAAUAUUUAACAGCACAACAGCAACAAUAAAACCCAAUAAAAGCAAGAGAAACUAGGCAAUCAACAUGAAUUUAAUUUGCUAAAAACAAUUGAGAGAUACCUCACCGAAAGUGGAGUUUCUUGGUUAAAAUGUUUUGAUGAAAUUCCAAACCUCCAACUGUCCAAUGGCUUGCUUUC
rnacentral:lncRNA from 1 species